UGGGGAAUAUUGCACAAUGGAGGAAACUCUGAUGCAGCAACGCCGCGUGGAGGAUGACGCAUUUCGGUGUGUAAACUCCUUUUAUAGGGGAAGAUAAUGACGGUACCCUAUGAAUAAGCACCGGCUAACUCCGUGCCAGCAGCCGCGGUAAUACGGAGGGUGCAAGCGUUACUCGGAAUCACUGGGCGUAAAGGAUGCGUAGGCUGGAGAUCAAGUCGAGAGUGAAAUCCAACGGCUUAACCGUUGAACUGCUCUCGAAACUGGUCUUCUAGAAUAUGGGAGAGGUAGAUGGAAUUAGUGGUGUAGGGGUAAAAUCCGUAGAUAUCACUAGGAAUACCGAUUGCGAAGGCGAUCUACUGGAACAUUAUUGACGCUGAGGCAUGAAAGCGUGGGGAGCAAACA
rnacentral:rRNA from 1 species